CACAUGCAGUCGAACGGAGCUGAGAGGAGCUUGCUUUUCUUAGCUUAGUGGCGAACGGGUGAGUAACGCGUGAGUAACCUGCCCUGGAGUGGGGGACAACAGUUGGAAACGACUGCUAAUACCGCAUAAGCCCACGGAUCCGCAUGGAUCUGCGGGAAAAGGAUUUAUUCGCUUCAGGAUGGACUCGCGUCCAAUUAGCUAGUUGGUGAGGUAACGGCCCACCAAGGCGACGAUUGGUAGCCGGACUGAGAGGUUGAACGGCCACAUUGGGACUGAGACACGGCCCAGACUCCUACGGGAGGCAGCAGUGGGGGAUAUUGCACAAUGGGGGAAACCCUGAUGCAGCGACGCCGCGUGGAGGAAGAAGGUUUUCGGAUUGUAAACUCCUGUCGUUAGGGACGAUAAUGACGGUACCUAACAAGAAAGCACCGGCUAACUACGUGCCAGCAGCCGCGGUAAAACGUAGGGUGCAAGCGUUGUCCGGAAUUACUGGGUGUAAAGGGAGCGCAGGCGGACCGGCAAGUUGGAAGUGAAAACUAUGGGCUCAACCCAUAAAUUGCUUUCAAAACUGCUGGCCUUGAGUAGUGCAGAGGUAGGCGGAAUUCCCGGUGUAGCGGUGGAAUGCGUAGAUAUCGGGAGGAACACCAGUGGCGAAGGCGGCCUACUGGGCACCAACUGACGCUGAGGCUCGAAAGUGUGGGUAGCAAACAGGAUUAGAUACCCUGGUAGUCCACACCGUAAACGAUGAUUACUAGGUGUUGGAGGGUUGACCCCUUCAGUGCCGCAGUUAACACAAUAAGUAAUCCACCUGGGGAGUACGACCGCAAGGUUGAAACUCAGAGGAAUUGACGGGGGCCCGCACAAGCAGUGGAGUAUGUGGUUUAAUUCG
rnacentral:rRNA from 1 species